AUUGACCGUUGGCGGCAGGCUUAACACAUGCAAGUCGAACGCGUGGCGGACGGGAGUGUAAUGUCUGGGAACCUGCCCGAUGGGGGGGGUACACUACUGGAAACGGUAGCUAAUACCGCAUACCAUCGGAUGUGCACAGAUUGGAGUAGCUAGUAGGUGGGGUAAAGGCUCACCUAGGCGACGAUCCCUAGCUGGUAUGAGAGGAUGACCAGCCACACUGGGACUGAGACACGGUCCAGCGUCCUACGGGAGGCAGCAGUGGGGAAUAUUGCACAAGGGGGGAAAGCCUGAUGCAGACAUGCCGCGUGUAUGAAGAAGGCCUUCGGGUUGUAAAGUACGUUUAGCAGGAAAGCGUUACCCGCAGAAUAAGCACCGGCUAACUACGUGCCAGCAGCCGCGGUAAUUC
rnacentral:rRNA from 1 species